AAAGUGGCGGACGGGUGAGUAAUGUGUAGAGAAUCUGCCCUUGAGUGGGGGACAACAGUUGGAGACGACUGCUAAUACUCCAUAUGAGCUUAGCUGAAAUGCUAAUCUUGAAAACUCCGGUGCUCAAGGAUGAGUCUGCAUCUGAUUAGCUAGUUGGCGGUGUAAUGGACCACCAAGGCUACGAUCAGUAGCUGGUUUGAGAGGAUGAUCAGCCACAAUGGGACUGAGACACGGCCCAUACUCC
rnacentral:rRNA from 1 species